rnacentral:rRNA from 1 species
UGGGGGAUAUUGCACAAUGGGGGAAACCCUGAUGCAGCGACGCCGCGUGUAGGAAGACGGUCCUCUGGAUUGUAAACUACUGUCCCCAGGGACGAAGAUGACGGUACCUGGGGAGGAAGCUCCGGCUAACUACGUGCCAGCAGCCGCGGUAAUACGUAGGGAGCGAGCGUUGUCCGGAAUUACUGGGUGUAAAGGGAGCGUAGGCGGGGAUGCAAGUUGGGUGUUAAAUCUACCGGCUCAACUGGUAGUCGCACUCAAAACUGCAGCUCUUGAGUGAAGUAGAGGCAGGCGGAAUUCCUAGUG